ensembl:lncRNA
GGAGGAGAGGGGGCAGUAGAUACUGAGGAGACAGGUAAACAGGAGGAGAGGGGGCAGUAGAUACUGAGGAGAGAGGUAAACAGGAGGAGAGGGGGCAGUAGAUACUGAGGAGACAGGUAAACAGGAGGAGAGGGGGCAGUAGAUACUGAGGAGACAGGUAAACAGGAGGAGAGGGGGCAGUAGAUACUGAGGAGACAGGUAAACAGGAGGAGAGGGGGCAGUAGAUACUGAGGAGGGAGAGGUAAACAGGAGGAGAGGGGGCAGUAGAUACUGAGGAGAGAGGUAAACAGGAGGAGAGGGGGCAGUAGAUACUGAGGAGAGAGAGGUAAACAGGAGGAGAGGGGGCAGUAGAUACUGAGGAGAGAGGUAAACAGGAGGAGAGGGGGCAGUAGAUACUGAGGAGGGAGAGGUAAACAGGAGGAGAGGGGGCAGUAGAUACUGAGGAGGGACAGGUAAACAGGAGGAGAGGGGGCAGUAGAUACUGAGGAGAGAGGUAAACAGGAGGAGAGGGGGCAGUAGAUACUGAGGAGACAGGUAAACAGGAGGAGAGGGGGCAGUAGAUACUGAGGAGACAGGUAAACAGGAGGAGAGGGGGCAGUAGAUACUGAGGAGGGAGAGGUAAACAGGAGGAGAGGGGGCAGUAGAUACUGAGGAGAGAGGUAAACAGGAGGAGAGGGGGCGGUAGAUACUGAGGAGAGAGGCAAACAGGAGGAGAGGAGACUGCAGGACAGGAGGGAGAUGGCUGGAGGACAGGAGACUGCAGGAUAGGGGGGAGAUGGAGAGAGGACAAGAGACUGCAGAACAGGAGAAGGGAGC